rnacentral:rRNA from 1 species
CGUAGGAGGCAAGCGUUAUCCGGAGUUACUGGGCGUAAAGAGUGCGUAGGCGGAAAUGUAAGUGGGCGGUGAAAGCGCCCGGCUAAACCGGGCGAGGUUCAUUCAGACUGCAUUUCUAGAGGCGGAUAGAGGGGUGCGGAAUUCCGGGUGUAGCGGUGAAAUGUGUAGAGAUCCGGAGGAACACCAGUGGUGCAAACGGCGCCCUGGGUCCGAACUGACGCUGAAGCACGAAAGCGUGGGGAGCGAACGGGAUUAGAGACCCCGGUAGUCCACGCCGUAAACGAUGUCAACUAGGUGUCCACUGGGCUACGGUUCAGGGGGUGCCGACGCUAACGCAAUAAGUUGACCGCCUGGGGAGUACGGUCGCAAGGCUA